GAUUUUCUAACUCAGGGUAUGAAUAUGUUGACUCCUCUGAUGAAACACUGAUAGAAGAGCAGCUACAACUGGAGACAGAAUAUGAUGACACUGCAGUGGAGGACUACAUUAAUACUGAAAAUAAGAAUGAGUAUAACAAUGUGGAGCCUUUUGUUCCUGCUAAGCUAGAAGACCAGCUAAAGCUAGAGAUGGAAUAUGAUGACACUGGGGUAGAGAACUACGCCAAUGUGAAAUGAGUGAAAGGAGAUUUACGGAAGGAGCACACCAAAGAGACCCAGCAGCUCUUCAGAAGCAAGAAAGAUGCUGAAAUUGCCGAAGACUGUCUACUUUUCAUUUAUCUGUAUUUUGUUAGUUAAAGAUGUUAGGAAAGUGAAGGUCUUUAGGAUCGUUACAUAGUCCUUUUGUAAGUUUGUCUCUGUCAAAAUGCAACAGAGGUAGUUUUCAAAAUAAAAAUGAGACUAUAUGAGGUUAAAAAAUACCUAAUGAAUGUUAAUAUCAGAGUCUGUGAAUGCAGUCCAAUGUAAUAUAAAU